AAAAUAAAAUUUUUCCAAGAAUAACUGUUACCAACUUAUCCUGAUAAGUUGAUCUAUGAAUUUUAUUUCCAGUUUUGUAAACCUCAGAAAUGCCGGCGGAAAAAAUGGCAUGUCUUCAUUUUUCAUUGUUCCAGCUUCCUCUGUAGUGUGUUUUGCCUUCUUUUGGUUGUGAGAGUUAUUGGAACCAAUGCUUAACUGUACUGCAGCAUCCUAAUUUCUAGUGUAAGAAUUAAUUUAAUUAUUGAAUUUUGGUUGAUUAAGCUACAAAUUAGAGUUAGUGCCACUAAGACAGUCUUUUAUAAGAAAAAGAAAUUAUUUGAUGUUUAAAUAACUCAUAUAAGAAGAACAAUAAAUUGUAUCUGACAGUGGUAGGGCUUUAGAAAACAUUCUGCUAAGGUUUGCAUAGUUACUUACUGGAAAAUUAUGUUUCAGAUAAAAAUGUUAAACAUUCUAAUUUGAGGAUAUUGGGUCAUUCUGACUAUUAAGUUUACUUGUAUUCCUCACAGGGUUAAAACAAUUCUGUCAGACGGAAAUGUGAUCUCUCCAUGUGGAGCCUAUUCCCAUGCUUGACAACAUUUAAUGUGUUUGUCCUUACAUCAGCCUCGUGGGUAGUGUGAAGUCCAGUGAAACACAAAGUGGCUCACCCGAGAUAACCCAGGAAAAGGGUUAUAUUUAACUAUUCUUUUUAGUUUUUUCUGCCCCGUGCCAGGUUAUUUUUGAUUCCAAGGAUAAAGCUGAGUAGAUAGAAAAGGCUACUUGGCGUGCACUGAAAAAGUCAGAGACAUUCCCUGCUGACCUUUAUUACUCUUCUUUCUUUUAGGGGAGAGCACACUAUGCCCUUUGUACAGACAGCAUGUUUGGACUUGGUUUGGGAAGGAUGAGAGCUGCAGUCUGCAGCACACUGCACAGAUUGCAGAAGCUAUCUUCCUCCAGUAAUAGAUUUUAAAGGCAUCCUUCUUCAAAAACAGAUCAGCAGCCCAGGAUAGCUUUAUUUUCUCUGAGCUGCGCCUUCUUUUAUGUGGGACCUGACUAAAAGAACUGAAAGACCACAGUAAGGUUUCUGCAAAACUUUCCCUUCUCCAGGCUGAACAACCUCAUCUCUUGGAUUCCUUUGCCAGGAACGAAAAGACCACAGUAAGGUUUCUGCAAAAAUUUCGCUUCUCCAGGCUGAGCAGCCUCAUCUCUUGGAUUCCUUCACCAGGAACUGAAGGACCACAGUACGGUUUCUGCAAAACUUUCCUUUUUCCAGGCUGAACAACCUCACCUCUUGGCCUGCCUUCAUAGGAGAGGGACUCCAGCACACUGAUAACCUUGGUGGCACUUCUCUGCUCACUCCAGCAGGUCUGCAUCCUUUGUGGGCUGUGGAUCCCAGAGCAGAUGCAGUGCUCCAGGUGGGCACUGACAAGGGUAGAGCAGAGGGGCAGAAUCACCUCCCAGCCUACUGCUGCUUUUGAUGCAGCCCAGGCUGGUUCUCUGGGCUGUGAAUGGGCAUUUCCUCCCGACAGCAGGAUGCAAGAUGAUGAACGACAGUUGUAUGACUAGAUCAAGAAGUGUGAAUGUUUUAAUAUGAUCUGUGUGAUUUUUUGCUGUUUUUUCUGAUUAUGGUUACAUCAACUCAACUUUUGGAACCAUUAUUCCUCUCUCAUGCCUAUUAUAAUAGUAGGUAGAUGGUAACAGUGUUAGGUGAAUUUAAAGCACUUAGAAAUCUGAGAGAAUGCUGAAUGUGGCAAAGAGUUCUUUUUGUUGCAGUCAAUACAAAAUGAGAUGGCCUUAAAAACAAUGCCUUUAUUCUUCCUUGUAAAGAUUAAAGUGCAUUAUUUCAAACACUUGAGUGCUGCAGUUAAUCCUAGCAUAUGUACUUUAAUGCUACUGAGGAUGUUUCUGUAAUCUAGUAAUUAGUAAAGCAAAGCUUUAGUUAUCUAAUUGUAGUUGAUAAUUCCAGACUUCUAGUGAUAGUGAUAAAUACAUUGUGGAAAAUGCAGUGUGGGAGCUUUUGAGAGCUUUCAUUUCUUUUAAGGAGGGAGAAAAUGCAAAAGUCUGGGUCAGAUGUUUAAAGUUUGCUUGGGCACAGCAUCUUGAAGUUCUGGAUGCUUCAUGUUGUAUGCAGCAUCUAACAAAAAGGAUAUAAUGGGAAAGGUAGGGAAACCAUUUUUGGGGAAAAAAGUAGUUGUGUAUCUCAGCAUUUCUUGGUGUACCUAAUUAUUUCUCUUUUAUUUUUUUUCUCUUGCUGUGUCUGCCCAAACCACCCUGAAUUAAAUGUUUUCCACAUAUCUCUUCAUGGUGAGAAAGGCUGAGACUUGAUAAAAUUGUUCCUUAAGAUAAGUGUCAUGUGUUUUCUCCUGUUUUUCUUUGACUGUGUUCUCUCUCUGUUUACAAUCCAAUUGU